UACGAAGGGGGCUAGCGUUGCUCGGAAUCACUGGGCGUAAAGCGUACGUAGGCGGCUUUUUAAGUCAGGGGUGAAAUCCUGGAGCUCAACUCCAGAACUGCCUUUGAUACUGAGAAGCUUGAGUCCGGGAGAGGUGAGUGGAACUGCGAGUGUAGAGGUGAAAUUCGUAGAUAUUCGCAAGAACACCAGUGGCGAAGGCGGCUCACUGGCCCGGUACUGACGCUGAGGUGCGAAAGCGUGGGGAGCAAACAGG
rnacentral:rRNA from 1 species